rnacentral:lncRNA from 1 species
UUUAAACAUGCAUGAGUUACAGUUUCAGCAGAAGACCUUAUUCAACGAAGAAUAUAUUUAAAGGAAGAAGGGAGUAUGGAUGGAUGAACAUCAACCAUUAACUGUGGCUCAUUGAGGCUUCUAGAAAACCAGAAGAUUUGGCAUCCCUUGGCAUUUUCCCUAAAAGUGGGUGGCUACCCUUCCCAGCUUCUGGUAGCCAUCCUUCUACUCUCUAGCUCCAUGAGCUGAACCAGGAAAAAACUGAAUCCCUGAAUAGACCAAAAAUGAGUUCUGAAAUUGAGGCAGUAAUAAAUAGCCUACCAAGCAAAAAAAAAAAAAAAAAAAAGCCUGGGACUGGAUGGAUUUACAGUUGAAUUCUACCAGAGGUACAAAGAAGAGCUAACACCAUUUCUACUGAAACUAUUUUAAAUAAUUGAAAAGGAGGAACUCCUCCCUAACUC